rnacentral:lncRNA from 10 species
UAUACCCCAAAGAAUUUAUACUUCUGGUGGUCUUAACGGUGCUCUUAUCCUGUCACCCCUGGGAGGAAAAAAGCCCUCAGUGGCUCCUGGUGCCCUCACGAUGAAGUGAGGCCUCUGAUGGCUUGGUUCAGUCCUUUCGCUGCCUAUGGAGAAGCUGGCCCCAAGAGAAGAAGUCUUUGUCCUUGCCCACCACUGGAUUCUCAUUAUCACCCACUGCGGCCCAGGGCAACCCCGGCAGCUCUGUCCCUUUGGCCUUGGGUGCCGCUUUUCUUGGUACAUGGAAUGCACAGAUUGCAAGAGAGAAACAUAAGCACUAUUCCUUCUACUCCAAUCCCUUGCAGCCAGUGCUCAAAUUUUAUGCCAGCAGGCCCAGAGUCCUACCCCUUCCUCCUGACCCUCUAGAGUCCCUGAUAUGGUUUGGAUGUGUGUCCCCUCCAAAUCUCAUGUUGAUGUGUGGCCUCCAAUGUUGGAGGUGGGACUGUUGGGAGGUGUUUGGGUCAUGGGGGUGGAUCCCUCAUGAAUGACUUGGUGCUGUCCUGCAAUAAUGAAUGAGCUCUCGCUCUAUUAGUUCACACAAGAGCUGGUUGUUUAAGACAACCCUAGCAUCUCUUUUUUGCUGUCUCUCUCGAGUGUGACACGCCUGCUCCCCCUUCCCCUUCUACCAUGAGUAAAAGCUUCCUGAGGCCUCCCCAGAAGCCAAGCAGAUGCUGGUGUAAUGCUUGUACAGCCUGAAGAACCCCAAGCCAAAUAAACCUUUUCUCUUUAUAAAUUACCCAGCCUCAGGUAUUCCUAUAUAGCAACACAAAAUGGACUAAGACAGUUCCUGGGCAGCAACCUCGGAAACCAGGCUCCCAGGCCCUCAGCUGCAAAGGCCAGCCCCUCCCAUGGCCGUUCCCAGACCACACUCAGGCACUUUCCCCACUCAGGACUCAGGCCCUGCUCAUGUUCCACCUGUCUACUAUUUACUUAACAUUUCUCUUUAAAUAGACUUAUUUUAUUAAAUUUAAAUAAACUUACAUUAAAGGAAAUUUUAAAAUAUCCUCGAAUCACUGGUUUGAUGUACUUAGGAAUUUUUUCUCAGCACACAUUAAAUGAAUACUUAUAAUUUCUUUUAAUAUGUGUCUAAGGACUGCCUCAAAUUUACUCCACAAAUAUUUAUUAAGCCAGGCACUAGCCAGGCACAGUGGCUCACACCUAUAAUGUCAGCACUUUGUGAGGUCAAGGCAGGAGGAUUGCUUAAGCCCAGGAGUUUGAGACCAGCCUGGGCAACAUAGCAAGGCCUUGUCUCUACUAAAAAUUAAAAACAUUGGCCAGGUGUGGUGGUGGUGUGCAUCUGUAGUGCUAGCUACUUGGGAGGCUGAGGUAGGAGGACAGCUUGAACUGAGGAGAAGGAGGCUACAGUGAGCUAUGAUCAUGCCACAUGCCACUGUACUCCCAUCUGGGCAGCAGAGUGAGACCUUGACUAAAAAAAAAAAAAAAAUCCACGCACUGUUCUAAAGUCCUUUCAGGUGUCAUUUGUGGGAGAUGCUGCCCUAUCGAGGCCACUCUCUUUGGCCAUCUGGUGCCUGGACUACCAGGGCACUGGGUCCAGGGAGUGCCUAAGGGGCAGUGUGAGCAGUGGAGAGAGCUCCUGGGAUGCUGAGAAGGAAUUGCCAGCUGUUCUUACCAAUACCAAGGUGCUCUUCCAAAGGACACUUGGAUCUGUAUAUACUGAUACGGAAUUGUGCAGCAUGAAUGCAGGUCCCUCCACGGUACACAUAGGACCAGGCCAUUUGUAUUUUGCAUGUAUAUAUACACGUGUGUGUGUAUGUGUGUGUGUGUGUGUGUGUGUGUGUAAAUGCAGAACGAGGGCCUGGUAGUGCUCAGCUAACUACUGAAAGAGAUUUCACCCUGGAAGGGGGUGGACGUUGAAAGGGGUAGAGUGAGGCUCUCACCUUUUGCCCUUUGUUUCUGUGUUGUUUGAAUAGCCAAAUGCUUUUCAUAUGUUCCUAAUGUCAUUUUUUAUUUUUAUUUUUUAUAUUGAGUCUUGCUCUGUCACUAGGCUGGAGUACAGUGGUGCAAUCUGUGCUCACUGCAACCUCCGCCUCCUGGGUUCAAGAAAUUCUCCUGCUUCAGCCUCCUGAGUAGCUGGGAUUACAGGCGUGCACCACCAUGCCAGGCUAAUUUUUGUAUUUUAAGUAGACACAGGGUUUCACCAUGUUGGCCAGGCUGGUAUUGAUCUCCUGACCUUGUGAUCCGCCUGACUCGGCCACCCAAAGUGCUGGGAUUACAGGUGUAAGCCACUGCACCUGGCCCUAAUGUCAUAUUAUUAAAAGGCAGUAAAUGUUUUCUUAAAACACAGACCCUUGGCCUGGGUGACUGAAUAGCUAGGUUCUAAUCCAGAUUGUGUAGACGAAAUACUUGACAUAUGAGCCAGGACAAGCCUCUUAGUUUCUUUGAGUCUCAGGUUUCUCUUCUGAGAAAUGGGACCCUGUGAGGCUCCAGCGAGAAGAGGUGUGUGAAAGCAUGAGUGGACAAAAGCAUGAGUAUUCUAGGUGGCAGUCCUGGGCCAUCUCUGGUACCUCUAACAGUCUUGCUAGAUGUAGAUUUUUUAACUGUGUAACUCCUGUGAUGAAAGCCCUCAGUGGCUUCCCAUUGCCCUCAGAAUGAGUCUAAAUCUGGAUUAGCACACACAACCCUUAUGGUCUGGCUCUGCCAACUCUCCAAAACACCAGAAAGUAGGGUUGUUGUCCUGGAUAUAAAACCAGGACUCUCUGGCUUUGUGGUUUGGGUGGACAUUUUUUGCUAUAAGGUUUAUGACUAUUGUUGAGGCCCCAAGUCACUAUUCCACCCUGUGGAUGAGUCCCUGUCCCCACUCACCAAAGGAGCAGAUGGCUUCCAGGGUUCCAGGAUAGAUCAGCCGGCCAGCCAGCAUUUCAGCCUUGCAGGUCCCUGCUGCCUUUCUGCCUACACCCCCAACCCCAAACACUGUCAAGCCUUAGCAGGGCCCCUGCUGCAAUCACCCCUCAGCCCCUGCAGCAGAGUAGUGACUCCGCUGGCUUGGAGUUCUGUGCUUCCUGGCUCCCAGUCCUUUGCUCCCUCCUGCAGACAUGCCACUGUCUGCAUUAACGCGGUCUCUACCUUUCCAGACCCUUG